rnacentral:lncRNA from 1 species
UAGAGUAGGACAAGAAGAAAAACUAUUGAUGAUCUAGGCACCGCACCCUCAGCCAUUGUUCUCCGGUGUCCAUUGAUGCUCUCCCUCUCACAGUUCACGUUCGUGCGGUGGAUGAGCUGCUGGUUCCCCACAUAUUUAGGAUCGAAAAGAAGAAGUAAUGGAGCAAAUUACCCUCGACCUCCCCUCUCGAACAUGAUGAUCAGGAAUCCAUCUCGGCAAUGAGUG